UGAGUGCACACAUUACGGUGCAUAAGGAUCUAGGACCAGGCACCCGGUCCCCCACCUGCAGGAGAGAAGCCUCAUGAGUGCUAAAGCAGGGCUGCAGGUCCCUCCACCGCUCCUGCUGCCAUGAAGAUCGCAGUGAUUGGGCAAAGCCUAUUUGGCCAGGAGGUGUACAGCCACCUGAGAAAGGAUGGCCAUGAGAUCGUAGGCGUGUUCACCGUCCCUGACAAGGAUGGGAAAGCUGACCCCCUGGGACUGGAGGCUGAGAAGGAUGGAGUGCGUGUGUUCAAGUUCCCCCGCUGGAGAGCUAAAGGACAGGCUCUGCCUGAUGUGGUAGCGAAAUACCAGGCUCUGGGGGCCGAGCUCAACGUCCUGCCCUUCUGCAGCCAGUUCAUCCCCAUGGAGGUCAUCAAUGCCCCCCGCCACGGCUCCAUCAUCUACCACCCGAGUCUGCUCCCAAGGCACCGAGGGGCCUCUGCCAUCAACUGGACCCUCAUUCAUGGAGAUAAGAAAGGAGGGUUUACCAUCUUCUGGGCAGAUGAUGGUCUGGACACCGGGGACCUUCUGCUGCAGAAAGAAUGUGAGGUCCUCCCAGAUGACACUGUGAGCACCCUGUACAACCGAUUCCUCUUCCCUGAAGGUGUCAAAGGGAUGGUGCAGGCCGUGAGGCUGAUCGCCCAGGGAAAAGCCCCCAGACACCCCCAGCCUGAAGAAGGAGCCACCUAUGAGGGCAUUCAGAAGAAGGAGACAGCCAAGAUCAACUGGGCACAGUCUGCGGAGGACAUUCACAACUGGAUCCGAGGGAAUGACAAGGUGCCUGGAGCUUGGACGGAGGCCUGUGGACAGAAGCUGACAUUUUUCAACUCUACACUGAACACAGCAGGCCUGAUGCCUGAAGGAGACGCUUUGCCCAUCCCGGAAGCCCAUCGGCCAGGGGUGGUCACCAAAGCCGGCCUCAUCCUCUUUGGGAAUGAUGACAGAAUGUUGCUGGUGAAGAACAUCCAGCUGGAGGAUGGAAAGAUGAUCCCAGCUGCGAACUUCUUCAGGGGAGCAGACAGCAGCGCCCUGGAGCUGACCGAGGCUGAGCAGGCCACCGCGGAGGCUGUGCGGAGCGCCUGGAAGCGGAUUCUCCCUAAUGUCCCCGAGGUGGAGGAUGCCACCGACUUCUUCAAAUCAGGGGCCGCGUCCGUGGAUGUGGUGAGACUGGUAGAGGAGGUGAAGGAGCUGUGUGGCGGCCUGGAGUUAGAAAAUGAAGAUAUCUACAUGGCCACCGCCUUCGGGGACUUCAUCCAGCUGCUGGUGCGGAGGCUGCGUGGGGAGGACGGCGAGAGCGAGUGUGUCAUCGACCACGUGGAGAAGAGUGUGAACAAGAUGACAGUCCAGAUGCCCCACCAGCUCUUCAUUGGGGGUGCAUUUGUGGAUGCCGAGGGUGCCAAGACCUACGACACCAUCAACCCCACAGACGGAAGUGUCAUCUGCCAGGUGUCCCUGGCCCAGGUCAGUGAUGUGGACAAGGCCGUGGCUGCCGCCAAGGACGCCUUUGAGAACGGACAGUGGGGGAAAAUCAGUGCACGGGAUCGGGGACGGCUCCUGUAUAGGCUAGCUGACCUCAUGGAGCAGCACCAGGAGGAGCUGGCCACCAUCGAGGCCCUGGACGCGGGCGCUGUCUACACUCUGGCCCUGAAGACCCACGUGGGCAUGUCCAUCCAGACAUUCCGCUACUUUGCAGGCUGGUGCGACAAGAUCCAGGGCUCCACCAUCCCCAUCAACCAGGCCAGACCCAACCGCAACCUGACCUUGACCCGGAAGGAGCCCAUCGGGGUCUGUGGCAUUGUCAUCCCCUGGAACUACCCCCUGAUGAUGCUGGCCUGGAAGACAGCUGCCUGCCUGGCCGCCGGGAACACAGUGGUCAUCAAGCCUGCCCAGGUCACCCCACUCACAGCCCUGAAGUUUGCAGAGCUGACCCUGAAGGCUGGCAUCCCCAAGGGCGUGGUCAACAUCCUCCCAGGAUCUGGCUCACUGGUUGGCCAGAGGCUCUCAGAUCACCCCGAUGUGCGGAAGAUUGGAUUCACGGGCUCCACAGAGGUGGGGAAGCACAUCAUGAAAAGCUGCGCCCUGAGCAAUGUGAAGAAGGUUUCCCUGGAGCUGGGUGGGAAGUCACCGUUGCUCAUCUUUGCUGAUUGUGACCUCAACAAGGCUGUGCAGAUGGGCGUGAGCUCCGUCUUCUUCAACAAAGGUGAGAACUGCAUCGCGGCCGGCCGGCUCUUUGUGGAGGACUCCAUUCAUGACCAGUUUGUGCAGAGGGUGGUGGAGGAGGUGAGGAAGAUGAAGAUUGGCAACCCCCUGGACCGAGACACCAACCACGGCCCGCAGAACCACCAGGCCCACCUGCGGAAGCUUCUGGAAUACUGCCAGCGCGGCGUGACAGAGGGAGCCACGCUGGUCUGUGGCGGAAAGCAGGUCCCCAGGCCAGGCUUCUUCUUCGAGCCCACGGUCUUCACCGACGUGGAGGACCAUAUGUUCAUUGCCAAGGAGGAGUCCUUUGGGCCCGUCAUGAUCAUCUCCCGGUUUGCCAAUGGUCCUCCUGGAAUUUCCCCCGACACACAGGGACAUCGAUGGUGUACUGUCUCGGGCCAAUGCCACAGAGUUUGGCCUGGCCUCGGGAGUCUUCACCAGGGACCUCAGCAAGGCCCUGUACAUCAGUGACAAGCUGGAUGCAGGCACAGUGUUCGUCAACACCUACAACAAGACCGACGUGGCUGCACCUUUUGGGGGCUUCAAGCAGUCGGGCUUCGGCAAAGACCUGGGAGAGGCGGCCCUGAACGAGUACCUGCGCAUCAAGACGGUCACCUUCGAGUACUGAGCACAGCCCCUCUCUGCCACGUCCUCAGCAAGACCUGCCUUCUCUGUGGGCUUUGGGCCCUGCAUCCCACCGCAAAACCCACACACACACACCCCGUGAGAAAGCCACUGUAGGGCAAAUAAAGUCCUGAAGCAACUA